rnacentral:rRNA from 1 species
GACGAACGCUGGCGGCGUGCCUAAUACAUGCAAGUUGAGCGAUGAAGCUUGGUGCUUGCACCAAUUUGAAGAGCAGCGAACGGGUGAGUAACGCGUGGGGAAUCUGCCUUUGAGCGGGGGACAACAUUUGGAAACGAAUGCUAAUACCGCAUAACAACUUUAAACAUAAGUUUUAAGUUUGAAAGAUGCAAUUGCAUCACUCAAAGAUGAUCCCGCGUUGUAUUAGCUAGUUGGUGAGGUAAAGGCUCACCAAGGCGAUGAUACAUAGCCGACCUGAGAGGGUGAUCGGCCACAUUGGGAAGGAGACAAGGCCCAAACUCCUACGGGAGGCAGCAGUAGGGAAUCUUCGGCAAUGGACGAAAGUCUGACCGAGCAACGCCGCGUGAGUGAAGAAGGGUUUCGGAUCGGAAAACUCUGUUGGUAGAGAAGAACGUUGGUGAGAGUGGAAAGCUCAUCAAGUGACGGUAACUACCCAGAAAGGGACGGCUAACUACGUG